UCGUUGUUUCUUCAAUCUCAACUAUCCAUAUUCGUAACCAUAUUGGGUGCUACGUGCGUAAUUUCCUAGACGCCUGUUGCAAGUUUCAGCAACUAUGAAGCCAGUUUCCAUAAGUUUCAGAAAUUAUUCGCAGUCCAACGUCGGCAGACUAACUUACUGCAACGAGUAACUUGGAUGACAAGUGCAAUUAGGCUCCUGGAGUUUCACGAGCAGCCACCAGCACCGCUAUGAAUAACUUGUCAAUUAAUCGCGAUUAUUGACAAGUAAUGACGAGAGCGGUGAACAGGCCUCAUAAGGACAAGUUUCACGAGCUGACGUUUACGUCACGCUAUACCGAUCCUUCUACGAAGAUGGACGUAAACUCGCUUGUUAAUUGACCGCGAAAGCAUUAAAACGUGAUUUCAGGUCAAUUUCGUGCGCGUCUACUGUAUACGCACGGACGAACGUUACGUGAAACGAAAAGUUCUCGGGAGCUUCCAAAAUGCUUCAGAAAUUUUCAGAAUUUUUCCAACGAUUUCCAGAUGCCUUGGUAGCUUUCAGGAUCCUUCACAGGCUUUCAGAGGCCUUCGAAAGUUUCACGAUCCUUCCGAAACCUUCACAGAAGCUUGUGCUAUCUUUCCUGAGUCUCGAAACCUAGGGAUCUUCCUUGGUGAUUUUCUAGGUAUCUUCGUAGGUACCUUCAGAGGGAAUUCCAGAAGAAGCUUUUGAACAAAUUUCAGAUGCUGUUGGAAAUGUUCAAAGUCCUUCACAGAUAUGUAGGCAGCUUUCAAAGACCUUCAGUGGCUUUCGGACAGCAUGUGCACGCGCGGAUCGUUUGGAAAUCUGCCACACACGUGAUCCCGUGCUCAUCGCAAGCCAGGAAUGCAAAGUAACGCUUCACGGACGCUCCGCGCUGGUUUCCAACUAAUUACUGCGAGAAGAAGCUUGGCUUUCGCACUUGUUGCUCCUCUCUCUCUUUUUCUUUCUUCAUUUCUCUAUUAUUCCAGCAGUAACACAAUAAAGAGAUGAUUAGGUAGAAGAUGUACGACCAUCAGCGUCAUUGAUUAGCUUAUCAAAUCGGAAUUUCGUUAUUGCGUUGCUUCGUGGCCGGAGAAAGUUCAUUUGAAUGAAUCUUGCAAGAAACCGAUAAGGAAACGAUAGAUCGCAGUUUCACGGGGCACCAGCUUUGCGUAACGGAAUAAUUAUCAUUGCUUUCGUCGUUUGAAACGAAACUGUGCAAAAAACUGUGUCCUAUUCGCAAGAGUCUCAACUGCAACUGUUAAACGAAACAAUUGCUUUUUGUCUUAACAACACUGUUUUUCUUUUUCAAUAUCUCUACGCUUCGUACCCUGCUUUUAUAUUUCUACUUUUUAAGUAACGAGAAGAGAAAUUCGUUGUAACGUAUUUUGUAAAUAAAAUUAGAGAUUAGUCAUCAAAUAGCAUUAUUGGUUUACAGAUGGCUGUAAUAAUUUAUGUUUGAUUAUUAAAAUUUAAGGUAUUUCAUUUCACUUUGUAUUUUAUAUUCUCCGUAGUAAAUAGUGUUAUUGUAGAAAUUAUGUACUGUUGUAACGUUGAUACAGUUGAUAGAAGAAAUUCAAAGCAGAAAGAUAAGAAUUAAAUAAAAUAAAUAAAUGAAAUUAAUGAAAUAAAAUAAAAUAAGUAUAUUCUCCGUGAUAAAGAUUGGCUAUAAAAUUAAAUUACGUUCAAAAUUCGAAAAUUAAGUAAUCCAACUGCAGAUUCUUAUGGUCUCGACGAUAGCAGUUAUAAUGGCACAAUCAUAGCAAUUGACACGUUCACGUACGCUCGAGAUUAUUCGUGCUAACGUCUUCAAUGUGACACGUAAGUUAAAAAUCCCGAGAUUAUGAGAAAGUAUUUCAUAAUAAUUCAUAUUUCGCAAUGCAAACGAAGAUACUGUAUAAAAAUGUUUUGUUAACAUACAGCACAAGUAGAAAAUAAAAGUUGGAUGCGCAGCGAACGUGUUAAAAGUUUCAAACGAUGCUUCCAGAGCCCUGAAAUAUUUCACGCGAUCGAAAAAGGAGAUCUACCUGAUUUCGGACCACGUUUUCACGAGAACCAUCUAACCAUAGGCCUUGAUAACAUAUAUCACGUGCCGAAAGAGAAAUCUUAUUUCAGCCUAUUCCAAUCAUUCCUCUUUCCUCUAUGGGUCGCAUUUACAAUUCCUAGAAACGAAAAUAAUUCAAAGACAUCGAUUUCUCGCGAUGUUGCAACUGAUGCUCAGUGUAGGGGGGAGAGACCGGUCUGAAAAGGAUGGAAAGUUCUUGUGGAGCAAGUAUCGGGAAACGAUGUUGCAUCUGUUACGAAUUUCAUUUUUGUUUUCGAUAUAAACCAGCCGAGUGACGAGAUAUUCCUGAAGAAUUUAAUAGUUCAUCGACCGAUGAAUGAGAAUAUCAAUGAAAUUGAAAGCCAAGUGUAUUCGCUUUAAAGAUACUCCACAGCAUCUUCUGCGAGUUUUUGGAAGAGGGAAGAAACGUCAGAAUAUGUUCCAAAAGGCUUUAGAAGAUUACAGAAAGUCGGUAAAAGUGUUUGUGAGUUCUUUGAAAAUCCUAAAGACCUCUGAAAAAUUCUAUGAUCUCUGAAAGAUUCUGAAAGUCUUUGACACAUUCUGAAACGUCUUUGACGUUCCAUACAAGUUCGAGGAAAAUUCUAAAGGUUUCUGAAAGAUUCUAAGAGUCUCAGAGAAUUUCUGAAAACUCUUGAGAGACUUUUGGAGGUCUCCAAAGACUUCUGAAAUCCUCCAGAAAUCUCUGAAAGAUUCUGAAAAUCUUCGAAAACUUGUGAAAGUUUUGAAGGCUUCCGAAGACCUUCGGUAAAUUCAUAAAAUUUCACCAAAGAGUUGGAAACAAUUCUACGAAUCUCUGAAAGUCCUGAGAAGCUUUGGCAGCCCAAAAACUGCAAAAUCUACUCGAAAUCACCGCUCGACUCAAUAAGAUCGAUAGCUAACGCGAUAUAACUUCGAUCGCAACACAUUUUAGAAACUAACGCGGAUAAUUCGUUCGGCACUUUCUUCGUUAGAAGUGAAAAUCGGAAAUUUUAAUUGCCCCUAACGAUCCUGUUACACUAUCUGCAUCUGUACUGAGCAUCGUAAACAACGUUUUUCCCCUCCUUUCAGGUUCCUGAACGCUCCAAUCGAUGAUCGAACACCAAACUAUCUCGAUCGAGAGAAACAAUUACAAUUUUCCAGAGAUGUUGCUCCGAGAACGAAAUUACAAUUGUAGACGCAUGCAGAUCAGCCAAAGUGGAGAGAAGUGGCUGAGAUUAUGGCUUUCGUUUUAAUUAAACAUGAGAAACCGCUUGAUCCAACUUACCUACUUCGCAGCCAGCGAUUAUUAUCGUUUCUAAUCGCGCACUUUGUCUGAUAAAACGGUUUCCCUGUAUUCAUCUACAGUGCUCAGCAAAGUCCUUCAAACUUCCCAAAGAAAAACUUUCAUAUAUAUAUUGUGUAUUAUAUAAAACAUUAUGUAAAACGUUUCGAAAUUUCAUUAGUAUUGCGAAGAGACACGAGUGACACGAUUAUGUCGAUAGAAUUUGAAACUAAUCUGAAAAUGUAUAUGGAUGUCGCAAGGUAUCUGCUACGAGCAUAUUAUUAAUAAAAAAAUUAAUACGGAGCAUGAGUAGCUAGCUAUCUUUUAAUCAUUUUUUACAGAACGUUUUGACAGAACUUUUUUUAUUAUUAUGUUAUUAUAGUAUCAAAUACGUUUCCACCGAAUACCGAAGUUUAACAUAAAAUGUAUACUUGAAUGGGUAAUUUAACUAUUUAACACUAGAACUACCAGAACUAGAAAUUUUAUUUUAAAAUUUCUACUUCAUGUUAUAUUUUUCCCACAAUGAUGUAAUGACUUUCGCAAC